rnacentral:ncRNA from 130 species
UUGACCUCGGAUCAGG